GGUGUCUUCCAUGUCGCUGGAUAAAUGACUUUGUGUAUCUUCGUGGCGUUGUUGUACAAUGUCCCCUGCGCUGUUCUCCAUUUAGCCGGUCCGGUUCCCGAGAUCUAUUUCCUGAUGGCAGCCGUUUUCGAUUUACCGCUUCCGUAACAGGAAGAAUUGCAGCAUGUUGUUCACCUCGAGCACUCACAGAAUCCACCCCUGCAGAUACGCUGUAGUUCCACAUGGCUGUCCACUGCUUAUGUACAGCCUUCCACAGCUGUAUGGGGCCAGGGAUCACCUGAAAGGACUCUCUCAACAACAAAUACAGGCUUGUAGAGAGGAAUGCUUUCAGAGGUCCAUACCAUUGUCAUGAGACUGUUUUUGACAUUUCAUGCCUUGCAAUGGCAGAGAACAAAUCUGCCUCUACCCACUACUUCCAAUGAAACUAUGGAAUUGUAUUUGUUCUUACGGGCUUACAUGCUAACUCAUCUGUAACACAGAGGACUAGGGAUGAACUCUGUUAUCCUGACGCUGAAGGGGACAGACCGAGGUGGCUGCCCUGCUGAUUGAGAGGGGCGCCAACCUGGAGGAGGUCAAUAAUGAGGGAUACACCCCACUCAUAGAGGCUGCAUGAGGGGGGCAAGAGGACAUGGUGGCACUAUUUUUGGCACAAGCUGUCUCAGACGGCUUCAAGCAGAGGCCGAGCCCCUUCCAGGGUAACCCACUUGCUGCAGACAGUCCAGACACAGAUCUGCUGCCCCUCUUCUACUUGUACCAGCCCCUGGAGUGAGUUGUGGAAGAGACGGAGAGCAAACUGAAUGAGUUCAGCCAAAAGUAUCUCAGCCAUAGAGAAGGCUGAGCUGCAGAAGAAGAAGAUCCUCAAGAAGAAGUUCACCAAAGAGUGCAUGAAGGCCGAAGUCCUGAAGGGUGACCCGGGGCAGCCACCUACCUCUGUAGACCAGCUUCUUACCUUGGCCACUCAGCAUUCUAGACUUUAGUACAGCAGACUACACCAACAUCACCUGCCCUGCCCUACAGAGGCUGAUGGUGAGCCAGCAGUAAAUGUUGGGACAGUAGUUGACAGGCCUGGGACCUGGGCCUUCUCACUCAGGCCCCCGACAGACUCAUAGUGGCCUUCCCCACACAGACUGUCACUGACACGCUGGUAGACAUCAUGGCAGUUAUGUGAGCAGUUACUGUAGAAGCUGGUUCUUCACUUUCUUUCUUCUUCUAAUAACAAGUAGUAAGUAGCAGUGAGCAGUAGAGUGUCUAUGUUGAACACUACAACCUCGCCCAUACCCACAGCACAGAUGCCCAUCAAUUCAGUGUCCCCCCCCCCAUGCUCCCCCUCUGGACAUCGAUGCACAUCUACAUCACACCACCUAGCUAGAUUAUUAUAUUUAUAUGUACAUUUUUCUGGGAAAUGUAUAGUUUCUGUGUAGAAGUGGGAGUCUGUGUAUGUAGGUGUUGGAGAGUAAUCUCUGUCCCCUACUUUCACUCCUCUAAUCCUGGCUACUAGAGCGGAUCACAUUGCCGUGGUGGUGAUCCUACUGGAUAAAGGCGAGGACAUCGAAGCCCAGUCUGAGAGAAUCAAAACACACCUCUCUCCCUGGCCUGCUCUGUAGGAAGACAAGAGGUGGCAAAACUGUUGCUGCUGCGUGGGGCCAACAAGGAGCAGUGUAGCAUUUCAGAUUACUCUUCUCAGCCUGGCCGCCUCAGGGGGCUGCAUCAAUAUCAAGAUCCUCAUGAAUGCUGGUGCUGAAAUCAACUCCAGAUACGACAGUUUAUCAACCUCUGAAACACACAACCAUCCCUGACUAGAAGUACAUUGGGUAGCUCUCUGCUGAUGCUGGCUGCCAUGAAUGGUCACGUCCUUGUGGUCAAGCUGCUGCUGGACAUGGGCUCAGACAUCCACACUCCCGUCGAGACCAAGCGCAACGCAGCACUGACCCUGGACUGCCAACAUGGAGCACCGCUCCAAGUUGAGAGCAGCCACCAUCAGCUGAACUUGGCAGGUCUGACUCCUCUCAUGGGGGCUGCAUCGGGUGGCUAAGCUGUGGUGGGGCUGGUGCUGCUGGACAAGCACUAUAGUGUGUGUGACAUGGCGUCUCAACAGACCAUCCUAAGUGGUGAACUAGACUUUUACCUCCGACACAUUACAUCAGCACCCGUCAUGAAUCUCAUUAUCUUCCUGAGUCCAACUUCAUCCAACCCUCUGAUAUAUAGCUGGAAAUAUCAGAAAUUCUGAAUAUCUGCCUGCUUUUGUGGGGAUGCCUGCAGUAACUUCAAAAGUGGCAUGUGGUGUGACAUCUGUUGUCUGGAGGAGUAUCAAUUAUAAAAGCGAUCAGGUACUGUAAGGGGUCUAGGUUGUGUAGCUAAUUCUGUUGGCUAUAUACAAAUACCAGUAUGUCAUCCAGCUGAUACGGAAGGGGUUCUCCAAUGUGUGGCACAAACUCUCUCUGACACAGUUGAAGUCAGAAGAUUACAUACACAUACAAAUACAUUUAACUCAGUUUUUCACAAUUCCUGACGUUGUAAAAAAUCCCUGUCUUAGGUCAGUUAGGAUCACCACUUUAUUUUAAGAAUGUGAAAUGUCAGAAUAAUAGUGGAAUGAUUUCAGCUUUUAUUUCUUUAAUCACAUUCCCAGUGGGUCAGAAGUUUACAUACACUCAAUUAGUAUUUGGUAGCAUGGCCUUUAAAUUGUUUAACUUGGGUCAAACAUUUUGGGUAGCCUCCACAAGCUUCCAACAAUAAGUUGGGUGAAUUUUGGCACAUUCCUCCUGACAGAGCUGGUGUAACUAAGUCAGGUUUGUAGGCCUACUUGCUUGCACACGCCUUUUCAGUUCUGCCCACAAAUUUUCUAUGGGAUUGAGGUCAGGGCUUUGUGAUGGCCACUCCAAUAUCUUGACUUUGUUGUCUUUAAGCCAUUUUGCCACAACUUUAGAAGUAUGUUUGGGGUCAUUGUCCAUUUGGAAGACCCAUUUGCGACUAAGCUUUAACUUGAUGUCUUGAGAUGUUGCUUCAAUAUAUCCACAUAAUUUUCCAUCCUCAUGAUGCCAUCUAUUUUGUGACGUGCACCAGUCCCUCCUGCAGCAAAGCACCCCAACACCAUGAUGCUGCCACCCCUGUGCUUCACGGUUGGGAUGGUGUUCUUCGGCUGGCAAGCCUCCCCUUUUUCCUCCAAACAUAACAUUGGUCAUUAUAGCCAAACAGUUCUAUUUUUGUUUCAUCAGACGAGAGGACAUUUCUCCAAAAAGUCCGAUCUUUGUGCAGUUGCAAACCGUAGUCUGGGUUUUUAAUGGGGGUUUUGGAGCAGUGACUUCUUCCUUGCUGAGCGGCCUUUCAGGUUAUGUCGACAUAGGACUCGUUUUACUGUGGAUAUAGAUACUUUUGUACCGGUUUCCUCCAGCAUCUUCACAAGGUCCUAUGCUGUUGUUCUGGGAUUUAUUUGCACUUUUCGUACCAAAAUACAUUAAUCUCUAGGCGACAGAACGUGUCUCCUUCCUGAGUGGUAUGAUGGCUGCGUGGUCCCAUAGUGUUUAUACUUGCGUACUAUUGUUUGUACAGAUGAACUUGGUACAUUCAGGCAUUUGGAAAUUCCUCCCAAGGAUGAACCAGACUUGUGGAGGUCUACAAUUCUUUUUCUGAGGUCUUGGCUGAUUUCUUUUGAUUUUCCCAUGAUGUCAAGCAAAGAGGCACCAAGUUUGGUAGGUCUUGAAAUACAUCCACAGGUACAUCUCCAAUUGACUCAAAUUAUGUCAAUUAGCCUUUCAGAAGCUUCUAAAGCAAUGCCAUAAUUUUCUGGAAUUGUCCAAGCUGUUUAAAGGCAGUCAACUUAGUGUAUGUAAACUUCUGACCCACUGGAAUUAUGAUACUAUGAAUAAGUGAAAUAAUCUGUCUGUAAACAAUUGUUGGCAAAAUCUCAACACCCCAAAUGUUUGUACUGUGUAUACAGUUCUCCCACAGUUAUGCCAUCCUUCAAGAACACUUUCUUGAAAGUCAAAGAUUUCAUUAGACAUCGUCCCAUGGUCCUUGGAUUUCCAGUGGGAAAAACAAUGGGAAAAACAGUUGUUCUUUGACCCAAAAGGUCCUUUUUCCAAUAAGUUUUUGGAACAUUGAUAAUUUUAAAUAAGUUCAUUAGGCGCAGAGUUGACUGAUUUCCUUAUAUUAACUGUAACUCAGUAAAAUCAUUGAAAUUGUUGCAUGGUACGUUUAUAUUCUUGUUCGGUAUAUCAGUCUGCUAAUACAGGACUAGUAAAGCCCAGUGCACUGCUUUUGUGAAAUUGUAAACUAGAUGUAUUUGUGAUUACCAUCAUUUGUAACAUGAGUCUGAUAAUUAUCUAUACAAAACAGUUAAUCUGAAAAUACUUGUGGAAUGUAAAAAUACUUGCUUGAUAUGUUUUCCAGUUUCUUGGAAUACUUUCUAAAUGCAACUUAUUUGAAAAUGACCUGUACCCUCACACACUGACUCGGUACCGGUACCCCCUGUAUAUAGCCUCGUUAUUGUUAUGUACAUUUCUUGUUACUUUUUGAUACAAUAAUUUUUUUUAGUAAACCCUAGCAUUGCAAGCGCAAUGCUCUACCAACUGAGCCACAUCAUCACAAACCAAUUGCUGUCUCUAAGUACUAAAUUACUGUAUAGAUCUUCAUGGUGAUGGAAAGUCUACAGGUACAAACCUAGAUGACUAGCCUCUGUACAAUACCGUUAUAUACAUUUUACAUUGUGGUUUGUAAGGAUGGUAAAUUAAUACUGCACAAAAUGUGGUUUUCCAUGUUUUUUGAUCAAGAAAAAUAUUUAACUUAAUGUGGAUGUUGUGCCUUUGCAACUUGAUUUUUACCUAAUUUCCCCCCCAAUUUUGUGAAUACGAUCUUGUUUCAUCGCUGCAACUCCCCAACGAGCUCGGGAGAGGCGGAGGUCGAGUCAUGCGUCCUCCAAACCGCGCUUCUUAUUAACACAAGCUCCCUUAACCCGGAAGCCAGCCGCCCCAAUGUGUUGGAAACACUGUUCAACUGGAAUAUUUGUUUUGCUCUUGCUGUAGACAUCUAUAUUGGUCCGUCAAUACUAGUAAAGGCCCAGUGCAUUACUUUUGAUAAAAAUAUUUACAAAAUAAUAUUUUUUAAAGAUUUUUCAGGGGGUGCUGCACCACUCUCAGCAUGGCUAUGUGUCUAUGGCCACAAUGCAACAAGGGUAUAUUUGUGUGCAUGCUGCCCAAACUGCAGCCAUACCGUUAACUGCCAAAAUAAAGAAAGCCCUUGAGUAAACAAAGGAUACAAAGUAUACGUUAUGGUGUGGGGUGCAUUUUCCUGGCCCACUUGUAUAAUCUAUGCCAAGGUGCAUUGAAGCUAUUCUGGCAGCCUAACACCCUUUUAAGACGCUGUUGGUGUUUCCUUUAUUUUGGUAGAUACCUGUAUGUGCUUGUGAUUAAACUUAAUCCAGUUAUUUUGUUUAAUAAACUAUUGAUCCUCUGUGGCUAAA